rnacentral:rRNA from 1 species
UAAGCGGAGGAAAAGAAACUAACAAGGAUUCCCCUAGUAACUGCGAGUGAAGCGGGAAAAGCUCAAAUUUAAAAUCUGGUGGUCUUUGGCCAUNCGAGUUGUAAUUUAGAGAAGCGUCUUNCGCGCUGGACCGUGCACAAGUCUCCUGGAAUGGAGCGUCAUAGAGGGUGAGAAUCCCGUCUUUGGCAUGGACACNNCAGGGCUUUUGUGAUGCGCUCUCGAAGAGUCGAGUUGUUUGGGAAUGCAGCUCAAAAUGGGUGGUGAACUCCAUCUAAAGCUAAAUAUUGGCGAGAGACCGAUAGCGAACAAGUACCGUGAGGGAAAGAUGAAAAGCACUUUGGAAAGAGAGUGAAACAGUACGUGAAAUUGUUGAAAGGGAAACGCUUGAAGUCAGUCACGUCGACCGAGACUCAGCCUUGCCUCGGCUUGGUGUACUUCUCGGCUGACAGGUCAGCAUCAAUUUUGCCCCUUGGAUAAUGGCGAGGGAAAUGUGACACCUUUAUGGUGUGUUAUAGUCUCUCGUCGCAUGCAAGGGUUGGGAUUGAGGAACUCAGCACGCGNCCUUUGGGCGUCGGGGCUUUGCCCACGAUACGUGCUUAGGAUGUUGGCAUAAUGGCCUUAAACGACC